rnacentral:rRNA from 1 species
GACGAACGCUGGCGGCGUGCUUAACACAUGCAAGUCGAACGGAAAGGCCCUGCUUUUGCGGGGUGCUCGAGUGGCGAACGGGUGAGUAACACGUGAGUAACCUGCCCUUGACUUUGGGAUAACUUCAGGAAACUGGGGCUAAUACCGGAUAGGAGCUCCUGCUGCAUGGUGGGGGUUGGAAAGUUUCGGCGGUUGGGGAUGGACUCGCGGCUUAUCAGCUUGAUGGUGGGGUAGUGGCUUACCAAGGCUUUGACGGGUAGCCGGCCUGAGAGGGUGACCGGCCACAAUGGUACUGAGAUACGGCCCAGACUCCUACGGGAGGCAGCAGUGGGGAAUCUUGCACAAUGGGCGGAAGCCUGAUGCAGCAACGCCGCGUGCGGGAUGACGGCCUUCGGGUUGUAAACCGCUGUCGCCUGUGACGAAGCGUGAGUGACGGUAAUGGGUAAAGAAGCACCGGCUAACUACGUG